GCCGGUGUGGUGGAAUUGGUAGACACGUAGGACUUAAAAUUCUAUGGCCAUCGCGGUCGUGCAGGUUCGACGCCUGCCACCGGCACAA
rnacentral:tRNA from 1 species